rnacentral:rRNA from 1 species
GACGAACGCUGGCGGCGUGCCUAAUACAUGCAAGUUGAGCGCUGAAGGUUGGUACUUGUACCAACUGGAUGAGCAGCGAACGGGUGAGUAACGCGUGGGGAAUCUGCCUUUGAGCGGGGGACAACAUUUGGAAACGAAUGCUAAUACCGCAUAAAGACUUUAAACACAAGUUUUAAGUUUGAAAGAUGCAAUUGCAUCACUCAAAGAUGAUCCCGCGUUGUAUUAGCUAGUUGGUGAGGUAAAGGCUCACCAAGGCGAUGAUACAUAGCCGACCUGAGAGGGUGAUCGGCCACAUUGGGAAUGAGACACGGCCCAAACUCCUACGGGAGGCAGCAGGAGGGAAUCGUCGGCAAAGGACGAAAGUCUGACCGAGCAACGUCGCGUGAGUGAAGAAGGGUUUCGGAUCGUAAAACUCGGUUGGUAGAGAAGAACGUUGGUGAGAGUGGAAAGCUCAUCAAGUGACGGUAACUACCCAGAAAGGGACGGCUAACUACGUG